GCCAGGUCGGCGGCAUGAUCAGCGCGGUCUGUAAAACCGUCGGCGAAAGCCUACGCAGGUUCGAAUCCUGCACCUGCCACCA
rnacentral:tRNA from 1 species